UAGUGGCGGACGGGUGAGUGACGCGUGGGAAUCUGCCCUCAGGAGGGGGAUAACGGUUGGAAACGACCGCUAAUACCCCAUAUGCCGGGAGGUGAAACGAAAUUCGCCUGAGGACGAGCCCGCGUCUGAUUAGCUAGUUGGUGGGGUAAAGGCCUACCAAGGCAUCGAUCAGUAGCUGGUCUGAGAGGAUGAUCAGCCACACUGGGACUGAGACACGGCCCAGACUCCUACGGGAGGCAGCAGUGGGGAAUUUUCCGCAAUGGGCGCAAGCCUGACGGAGCAACGCCGCGUGAGGGAUGAAGGCCUCUGGGCUGUAAACCUCUUUUCUCAAGGAAGAAGAACUGACGGUACUUGAGGAAUAAGCCACGGCUAA
rnacentral:rRNA from 1 species